rnacentral:rRNA from 1 species
UACGUAGGGUGCGAGCGUUAAUCGGAAUUACUGGGCGUAAAGCGUGCGCAGGCGGUUCGCCAAGUCAGGUGUGAAAUCCCCGGGCUUAACCUGGGAAUUGCGCCUGAAACUAGCGGGCUUGAGUGUGGCAGAGGGGGGUGGAAUUCCACGUGUAGCAGUGAAAUGCGUAGAGAUGUGGAGGAACACCGAUGGCGAAGGCAGCCCCCUGGGUCAACACUGACGCUCAUGCACGAAAGCGUGGGGAGCAAACAGG